ACGCUCGACACCUACGGGAGGCUGCAGUAGGGAAUCUUCCACAAUGGACGCAAGUCUGAUGGAGCAACGCCGCGUGAGUGAAGAAGGUUUUCGGAUCGUAAAGCUCUGUUGUUGGUGAAGAAGGAUAGAGGUAGUAACUGGCCUUUAUUUGACGGUAAUCAACCAGAAAGUCACGGCUAACUACGUGUCAGCAGCCGCGGUAAUCUGAGCGGGCUGGCAAGGC
rnacentral:rRNA from 1 species